rnacentral:rRNA from 1 species
UACUAUGGCUAUGCCACCGUGAACAAGCCCGAUCCCAUCUGAUCUUAGAAGCUAAGCAGAGUCGGGCCUGGUUGGUACUUGGAUGGGAGACCACCUAGGAAGACCAGGUGCUGUAGGUG